rnacentral:tRNA from 1 species
UCGUUCGUAGGGCAUGGUUGCCUUCCAAGCAAUCGACGGGGGUUCGAUUCCCCCCAGACGCA